ACGUUUUUAGCUUAAUGGACAGAGCAUCAGCCUUCUAAGCUGAAUUGUGUGAGUUCAAAUCUCACAAAACGUA
rnacentral:tRNA from 1 species